rnacentral:misc_RNA from 1 species
ACUUAUCGUACAAUGGAGGUGCUGGGGUUGUCGCUGACUUGUCAAGGGACAAGGGCGCCUCGGUGCUCUCGUACCGAUCCAUCUCACCCCCUAGCGCCUCACCGCGUGGGGACCCCUUUUGGCUAGUUCUGAAGGGGGGUUUUCCCGUUUUUGCCCAACCCCCCUUUCUCUGCAAUUGGAGAAAGUUCUUUUUUUUGCCUUUCCCCGGGGGUUAGUACAUUUUUCACCCCCGGUCCUUUUGC